rnacentral:lncRNA from 1 species
UUUUUGGGACGCUGGUAUUGGAGUCCAUAAGAUUUCGGUGUUGGUGUUGGAAGGAUGAUGGUAUAGCUGUUGAAGCAGGAAGUGGAAUGGCUCUGUGGGUGAGAGUUCUGGCUUUGAUAAUAGCAGCAGUAUUACCUUUUCUUUCAGGUCAGUUAUAGCUAUCUGCCAUUGGAUUAUUAAAGAAUAUUGAUUUAGAUAGCGUUUAAAAGGUAGUAUAACUGUUCAUGAAAGGUAGACGAAUUCUGAAUGCUGAGAUGUAUGUAGAGGAUGAAUAGUUUAAGGAUUUAAAGUAGAAUAUUAAAAAAAAAAGAGAGAGAGACAAAGACAAAAGAGGUAACAUGGAAAAGAAAAAGGAUGGUUCUUUAUACCUGUCUGGAGUAUUGUUGAAGUAGCAAAUCAUCUUGCAGAGAAAAAAGUAGUUGGAGUACCUCUUGGUUGUCUUGAUGAGUCUCCCUGUUAAUGUUUCUAAGCCUUUGAUAGAUUGUUUCCUCUUUAGACAUGUAAACAGAGAAGCAACAUCAGAGAUGAAGAUGUGCUUUUUGGAACUUAACAUCAGAACAUUUGUGAAGCUUACCUAUCUGUGUACUGCAUUCUUCUACUUGCUUGCUGAGACGGGUAUGCAUGUUGCGCAACUGAUAUCC